GACGAACGCUGGCGGCGCGCCUAACACAUGCAAGUCGAACGAGCGAGAGAGAGCUUGCUUUCUCGAGCGAGUGGCGAACGGGUGAGUAACGCGUGAGGAACCUGCCUCAAAGAGGGGGACAACAGUUGGAAACGACUGCUAAUACCGCAUAAGCCCACAGCUCGGCAUCGAGCAGAGGGAAAAGGAGUGAUCCGCUUUGAGAUGGCCUCGCGUCCGAUUAGCUAGUUGGUGAGGUAACGGCCCACCAAGGCGACGAUCGGUAGCCGGACUGAGAGGUUGAACGGCCACAUUGGGACUGAGACACGGCCCAGACUCCUACGGGAGGCAGCAGUGGGGAAUAUUGCACAAUGGGGGAAACCCUGAUGCAGCGACGCCGCGUGGAGGAAGAAGGUCUUCGGAUUGUAAACUCCUGUUGUUGAGGAAGAUAAUGACGGUACUCAACAAGGAAGUGACGGCUAACUACGUGCCAGCAGCCGCGGUAAAACGUAGGUCACAAGCGUUGUCCGGAAUUACUGGGUGUAAAGGGAGCGCAGGCGGGAAAGCAAGUUGGAAGUGAAAUCCAUGGGCUCAACCCAUGAACUGCUUUCAAAACUGUUUUUCUUGAGUAGUGCAGAGGUAGGCGGAAUUCCCGGUGUAGCGGUGGAAUGCGUAGAUAUCGGGAGGAACACCAGUGGCGAAGGCGGCCUACUGGGCACCAACUGACGCUGAGGCUCGAAAGUGUGGGUAGCAAACAGG
rnacentral:rRNA from 1 species